rnacentral:rRNA from 1 species
UACGAAGGGGGCUAGCGUUGCUCGGAAUCACUGGGCGUAAAGGGCUCGUAGGUGGCCAACUAAGUCAGACGUGAAAUCCCUCGGCUUAACCGGGGAACUGCGUCUGAUACUGGAUGGCUUGAGUGUGGGAGAGGGAUGCGGAAUUCCAGGUGUAGCGGUGAAAUGCGUAGAUAUCUGGAGGAACACCGGUGGCGAAGGCGGCAUCCUGGACCAUUACUGACACUGAAUAGCGAAAGCCAGGGGAGCAAACGGG